rnacentral:rRNA from 1 species
GACGAACGCUGGCGGCGUGCCUAAUACAUGCAAGUAGAACGCUGAAGGAGGAGCUUGCUUCUCUGGAUGAGUUGCGAACGGGUGAGUAACGCGUAGGUAACCUGCCUGGUAGCGGGGGAUAACUAUUGGAAACGAUAGCUAAUACCGCAUAAGAGUAGAUGUUGCAUGACAUUUGCUUAAAAGGUGCAAUUGCAUCACUACCAGAUGGACCUGCGUUGUAUUAGCUAGUUGGUGAGGUAACGGCUCACCAAGGCGACGAUACAUAGCCGACCUGAGAGGGUGAUCGGCCACACUGGGACUGAGACACGGCCCAGACACCUACGGGAGGCAGCAGUAGGGAAUCUUCGGCAAUGGACGGAAGUCUGACCGAGCAACGCCGCGUGAGUGAAGAAGGUUUUCGGAUCGUAAAGCUCUGUUGUAAGAGAAGAACGAGUGUGAGAGUGGAAAGUUCACACUGUGAAGGUAGCUUACCAGAAAGGGACGGCUAAAUAAGUG